rnacentral:rRNA from 1 species
UGGGGAAUAUUGGACAAUGGGCGAAAGCCUGAUCCAGCCAUGCCGCGUGUGUGAAGAAGGUCUUCGGAUUGUAAAGCACUUUAAGUUGGGAGGAAGGGCAUUAACUUAAUACGCUGGUGUCUUGGCGUUACCGACAGAAUAAGCACCGGCUAACUCUGUGCCAGCAGCCGCGGUAAUACAGAGGGUGCAAGCGUUAAUCGGAAUUACUGGGCGUAAAGCGCGCGUAGGUGGUUCGUUAAGUUGGGUGUGAAAUCCCCGGGCUCAACCUGGGAAAUGCAGUCAAAACUGACGAGCUAGAGUAUAGUAGAGGGUGGUAGAAUUUCCUGUGUAGCGGUGAAAUGCGUAGAUAUAGGAAGGAACACCAGUGGCGAAGGCGACCACCUGGACUGAUACUGACACUGAGGUGCGAAAGCGUGGGGAGCAAACA